CCUACGGGUGGCAGCAGUAGGGAAUCUUCCACAAUGGGCGAAAGCCUGAAGGAGCAAAGUAGCGUGGGUGAAGAAGGUCUUCGGAUCUUAAAACUCUGUUGAUAGAGAAGUAAGAGCGUGAGAGUAACUGUUUACGCUUCGACGGUAUCUAACCAGAACGCCUCGGCUCACUACGUGCCAGCCGCUGCGGUAAUACGUAGGUGGCAAGCGUUAUCCGGUUUUAUUGGGCGUAAAGGGAACGCAGGCGGUCGUUUAAGUCUGAUGUGAAAGCCUUCGGCUUAACCGGAGUAGUGCAUUGGAAACUGGGAGACUUGAGUGCAGAAGAGGUGGGUGGAACUCGAUGUGUAGCGGUGAAAUGCGUAGAUA
rnacentral:rRNA from 1 species